rnacentral:rRNA from 1 species
GACAGAGGAUGCAAGCGUUAUCCGGAAUGAUUGGGCGUAAAGAGCUCGUAGGCGGCUCGGUAAGUCGGGUGUGAAAACUCUAGGCUCAACCUAGAGACGCCACCCGAUACUGCUGUGGCUAGAGUCCGGUAGGGGAGCAUGGAAUUCCUGGUGUAGCGGUGAAAUGCGCAGAUAUCAGGAGGAACACCGAUUGCGAAGGCAGCUCGCUGGAACGUUACUGACGA